rnacentral:snoRNA from 17 species
UGUCUCUCUUUCACUUUGCUCAAAUGGACUGAUGUCUUUAUUGGUCAUUCAAGUGGGGCAAAGGAAAUGUUCUUCUUAAAACUCAGGCAGAUGAAGUGUUUGCUCACGUAACCUGUCAGAUUGAAGUAGAU